UCAUAACCGAAAGAAACAUGGAGGAGGAAUUUUAGAGAAGUAGAGAGCAACGAGAGAAACAUGGAGGGGGAAUCUCAGAGAAGUAGAGAGCAGGUUCUUCUUCAAUGAGUUUAAGUUGAGCAGUGACGGUAGAGAAUGGUGAGCAGAGUUUAUGAUUUUCUUGUUAGUCUAAGUGGAGGCUCUCGGAGGUGCAUGUCUCCAUACACGUGACCGUGUUCAUUCCGCUGUGUACUAAGGUUCUAGAUAACAUCGAUUGUUCUUCUAUAAUGUAGAGAAAGGUUUUAAUAAAAUUAUUUCCAAUGCUUCGUUUAUA